rnacentral:rRNA from 1 species
UACGUAGGGGGCAAGCGUUGUCCGGAAUCAUUGGGCGUAAAGAGCGUGUAGGCGGCCAGAUAAGUCCGCUGUGAAAACUCGAGGCUCAACUUCGAGCUGUCGGUGGAAACUAUUUGGCUAGAGUCCGGAAGAGGAGAGUGGAAUUCCUGGUGUAGCGGUGAAAUGCGCAGAUAUCAGGAGGAACACCAAUUGCGAAGGCAGCUCGCUGGGACGUUACUGACGCUGAGACGCGAAAGCGUGGGGAGCAAACAGG